rnacentral:rRNA from 1 species
GUCUACAGCCAUGCAACCUGGAACAAGCCUGAUCUCGUCUGAUCUCAGAAACUAAGCAGGGUUGGGCCUCAUUAGUACUUGGAUGGGAGACCACCUAAUAAGACCAGGUGCUGUAGGUG